AUUGAACGCUGGCGGAAUGCUUUACACAUGCAAGUCGAACGGCAGCACGGGGGCAGCCCUGGUGGCGAGUGGCGAACGGGUGAGUAAUACAUCGGAACGUGCCCGGUCGUGGGGGAUAACGUAGCGAAAGUUACGCUAAUACCGCAUACGAUCUGAGGAUGAAAGCGGGGGACCUUCGGGCCUCGCGCGAUCGGAGCGGCCGAUGUCAGAUUAGGUAGUUGGUGGGGUAAAGGCCUACCAAGCCGACGAUCUGUAGCUGGUCUGAGAGGACGACCAGCCACACUGGGACUGAGACACGGCCCAGACUCCUACGGGAGGCAGCAGUGGGGAAUUUUGGACAAUGGGCGCAAGCCUGAUCCAGCCAUUCCGUGUGCAGGACGAAGGCCUUCGGGUUGUAAACUGCUUUUGUACGGAACGAAAAGGCUCUGGCUAAUACCUGGGGCUCAUGACGGUACCGUAAGAAUAAGCACCGGCUAACUACGUG
rnacentral:rRNA from 1 species